AACGUAGGUGGCAAGCGUUAUCCGGAUUUACUGGGCGUAAAGCGUGUGCAGGCGGGCCACCCAGUGGUGUAUGAAAUCGCUCGGCUAAACCGGGCGGGGUUAUGCCAGACUGGUGGUCUAGAGUGCGAGAGAGGGGCGUGGAAUUCCGGGUGUAGUGGCGAAAUGCGUAGAGAUCCGGAGGAACCCCAGAGGCGAAGGCGGCGCCCUGGCUCGCAACUGACGCUCAGACACGACAGCAUGGGGAGCGAACGGG
rnacentral:rRNA from 1 species